rnacentral:rRNA from 1 species
GACGAACGCUGGCGGCGUGCUUAACACAUGCAAGUCGAACGGUGAAGCGCCUUCCUUUUUGGUGGGUGUGGAUGAGUGGCGAACGGGUGAGUAACACGUGAGUAACCUGCCCCCUUCUUCUGGAUAACCGCAUGAAAGUGUGGCUAAUACGGGAUAUUCUGGGUCUGUCGCAUGAUGGGUCUGGGAAAGAUAUUGUUUCGGUGGGGGAUGGGCUCGCGGCCUAUCAGCUUGUUGGUGGGGUGAUGGCCUACCAAGGCGGUGACGGGUAGCCGGCCUGAGAGGGUGGACGGUCACACUGGGACUGAGCCACGGCCCAGCCUCCGACGGGAGGCAGCAGUGGGGAUUAUUGCACGAUGGGCGCAAGCCUGAUGCAGCGACGCCGCGUGAGGGAUGGAGGCCUUCGGGUUGUGAACCUCUUUCGCCAGUGAAGCAGGCCUGCCUCGUUUGUGGGUGGGUUGACGGUAGCUGGAGAAGAAGCGCCGGCUAACUACGUG